GAUGAACGCUGGCGGCGUGCCUAAUACAUGCAAGUCGAGCGAACAGAUGAGGAGCUUGCUCCUCUGACGUUAGCGUCGGACGGGUGAGUAACACGUGGAUAACCUACCUAUAAGACUGGGAUAACUUCUGGAAACCGGAGCUAAUACCGGAUAAUAUAUUGAACCGCAUGGUUCAAUAGUGAAAGACGGUUUUGCUGUCACUUAUAGAUGGAUCCGCGCCGCAUUAGCUAGUUGGUAAGGUAACGGCUUACCAAGGCAACGAUGCGUAGCCGACCUGAGAGGGUGAUCGGCCACACUGGAACUGAGACACGGUCCAGACUCCUACGGGAGGCAGCAGUAGGGAAUCUUCCGAAAUGGGCGAAAGCCUGACGGAGCAACGCCGCGUGAGUGAUGAAGGUCUUCGGAUCGUAAAACUCUGUUAUUAGGGAAGAACAAAUGUGUAAGUAACUAUGCACGUCUUGACGGUACCUAAUCAGAAAGCCACGGCUAACUACGUG
rnacentral:rRNA from 1 species